CAUAAGUAACGCAUAAAGUAUCUUUAAUCGUUCAUCUUAUUUUAAUUUUUUUUAAAAAAACUAAAAAAACAUAAGUAACGCAUAAAGUAUUAUUCAUGUUUUACAAUCUAAUAAAAAAAUAGUAAUCAUAAAAAAAAUUUAAAUAAGACGGACGAUCAAAGUUGGACAUGAAAACUUAUGGCUGCGCUUAUU
rnacentral:pre_miRNA from 1 species